GCUUUAUAUUUUAAUUAUAUAAUUUAUAAAGAAGUUUUUUUAAUUUUAUAAUGAAAAUUAUUUUGUUGGGGUGACAGUAAGAUUUAUAUAACUCUUAUUAUUUUUUAACAUUGAUUUAUGAUUAUUUGAUCCAUUUUUAUUGAUUAAAAAUUUAAGU
rnacentral:rRNA from 1 species